rnacentral:rRNA from 1 species
UACACAUGCAAGUCGAGCGAUAACCAUGGCUUCGGUCAUGGGGAGAGCGGCGAACGGGUGAGUAACACGUGAGCGAUCUGCCCUCGACACUGGGAUAGCCCGGGGAAACCCGGAUUAAUACCGGAUAGCCUCUCGGGUCUACGGGCCCGUGAGAAAAGAUGGCUUCGGCUUUCGGUUGAGGAGGAGCUUGCGGCGGAUUAGCUUGUUGGUGAGGUAACGGCUCACCAAGGCGACGAUCUGUAGCCGGCCUGAGAGGGCGGUCGGCCACACUGACACUGACAUACGGGUCAGACUCCUACGGGAGGCAGCAGUCGGGAAUUUUGGGCAAUGGGCGAAAGCCUGACCCAGCAACGCCGCGUGAAGGAUGAAAUCCCUCGGGAUGUAAACUUCGCAAGAACGGGAAGAAUAAGUAAGAGCUAACAUCUCUUAUGAUGACGGUACUGUUUGUAAGCUCCGGCUAACUCCGUGCCAGCAGCCGCGGUAAUACGGGGGGAGCAAGCGUUGUUCGGAUUUACUGGGCGUAAAGGGCGCGUAGGCGGCCACCGCAAGUCGACUGUGAAAUCUCCGGGCUUAACUCGGAAAGGUCAGCCGAUACUGCGGGGCUAGAGUGCAGAAGGGGCAACUGGAAUUCUCGGUGUAGCGGUGAAAUGCGUAGAUAUCGAGAGGAACACCUGCGGCGAAGGCGGGUUGCUGGGCUGACACUGACGCUGAGGCGCGAAAGCUAGGGGAGCGAACGGGAUUAGAUACCCCGGUAGUCCUAGCCUUAAACGAUGAAUGCUUGGUGUCUGGGGUUUUAUAGUCCCCGGGUGCCGUCGCUAACGCUUUAAGCAUUCCGCCUGGGGAGUACGGUCGCAAGACUGAAACUCAAAGGAAUUGACGGGGACCCGCACAAGCGGUGGAGCAUGUGGUUUAAUUCGAUGCAACGCGAAGAACCUUACCUGGUCUUGACAUCCUCGGAAUCCUGCAGAGAUGUGGGAGUGCCUUCGGGGACCUGGAGACAGGUGCUGCAUGGCUGUCGUCAGCUCGUGUCGUGAGAUGUUGGGUUAAGUCCCGCAACGAGCGCAACCCUUGCCCUUAGUUGCCAGCAUUAAGUUGGGAACUCUAAGGGGACCGCCGGUGACAAACCGGAGGAAGGUGGGGAUGACGUCAAGUCAUCAUGGCCCUUAUGACCAGGGCUACACACGUGCUACAAUGGCCAGUACAAAGGGUUGCCAACCCGCGAGGGGGAGCCAAUCCCAGAAAGCUGGUCGUAGUCCGGAUCGCAGUCUGCAACUCGGCUGCGUGAAGUCGGAAUCGCUAGUAAUCGUGAUCAGCGAUGUCACGGUGAUACGAUCCCGGUCUCACCACCGCCCGUCAGG